GCGGGAAAACUUACCAGACCAGGACAUAGUGAGGAUUGACAGAUUAAUGUUCUUUCUUGAUUCUAUGAAUAGUAGUGCAUGGCCGUUCUUAGUUGGUGGAGUGGUCCGUCUGGUUAAUUCCGAUAACGAACGAGACCCCAGCCAUCUGACUAGCCGUCGCUACUCGUUAGCGCUUGCCUAUGUAAUUGGGCAAGUUCGGCUUCUUAGAGGGACUAACUGCGCUUAGCAGUGGGAAGCGUGGG
rnacentral:rRNA from 1 species